AUGCAUGUCUAAGAUUAAGCCAUGCAUGCGAUUUGAUCACCCUAGGUCUUUUAUGGCCCAAGGUAAAUCUGCGAACGGCUCCGUACAACUGUAAUAACCUUCCCACUGAGUUUUUGUUUGGUCUCUAGUAGACCCAAGAUACAACUAGUUUAAAAUUCCUACGGGAAUUUUUCUGGAAAUUAGACUUCUUUUUUGAGGUCUUUUUUUUGGGCUUGUUAGACGGUUAUCUGAUGGUAAUUCUACGGCUAAUACGUGGUUCUUGAGGAGACUUUUUUUUUUUUGCCCCAACAAAAAAAAAAAUUUUUUUUCCCCCCCCAAUUUAAGGGGAAAAAAAAAACCCCAAUUUUUUUCCCCCCGGGGAAUUUUUUCCCAAAACCUUUUUAACCCGGCCUUAAAAAAUGCCCCAUUUUUUGGACCUUUUUUUUGGAAAAAAAAAACCCGGGAAAAACCCACCCCGGGAAAACCAAGGAAGGAUCACACUCGUGUGAUUUUUGUUAUGGUGCUGUGGAAGGGUUUCAGUCCUAUCAUACCAGGAAACAGGGUAUUGACCUGUUUAGGUGAUUACGGGUACAGGGAAUCAGGGCUCGAUUCUGGAGAGGAAGCUCGAAAAACUGCUUCCACUUCUAAGGAAGGCAGCAGGCGCGAAACGUUCCCAAUGACUACUUGUUGAGGACGUGAUGAAACAUAUGGAUCUGAAUUAUUGAUUCAGAAAUCUACAUGAGGGAAAAUUAGACCUCUUUCUCGGGAACUAUUAGUGGGAAAGUCUGGUGCCAGCAACCGCGGUAAUUCCAGCACUAAGAGUAUAUUGUUAAGUUGUUGCAGUUGAAACGCUCGUAGUCGAAAUCGGGUCUACUGUUAGGUCGGAGCGGAGUGUAUUUUUGGCCUUUGGCCUUGCGGUUCCUGAGUGAGCCGACCUUUAAGCCCGUUACACCGAGCACUGAUCGGCGUAGACCAUACCUUCGUCCCACCAAUUGAGGUCAACUUUAACUAGAUGAUUUUGGUCGGGGGACACCUUCACCUUGAGCAAAUUAGCGUGCUCAACGCAAGUCUUAUCUUAAAAUCCAUGACACAGAAUACUACAGCAUGGUAUAACCUUUUGUUUUCCCCUCUUAAACCUCUCUUUUUUCCCCCCUUUAAAAGUUCCUUAUAGGAUGUUAGAGGGGGUCUAAGAGGGGUGGGGAAGACAUAUUUUUGCAUGAGAGUCGAGGGGGCUAGCCAUACUUCCAGGCGAGGGGUGAAAUCCGAUGAUCCUGGAGGGGUGACCUAAAGCGAAAGCAGCUGGCUACGAGACUUCUAUCGAUCAAGAACGAGAGUGGGGGGAUCGAAAAUGAUUAGAUACCGUUGUAGUCCCUACCGUAAAAUCUGCCGACCACAGAUGAGGCGCUGUCCCAUUUGACUAGCCUCGGAUGCUUGGGAAACCAUUAAGUUUCUGGGCUCUGGGGGGAGUAUGGUCGCAAGUCUGAAACUUAAAGGAAUUGACGGAAGAGCACACAAGGAGUGGAACCUGCGGCUUAAUUCGACUCAACACGGGGAAUCUUACGAUGGCUCAAGGGGGUAUGAUGGACGGCUUGCGGGGUUUUCUUGAAGUCCCCUGGCGGUGGUGCAUGGCCGUUCGUAGUUCGUGGACUAUUUUGUCAGGUUAAUUCCGAUAACGAGCGAGACACAAGAUUUCUCAUUAGGGCUUAUUCUUACAAGUCGGCUUAGUCGGGUUUUCUUUUUUUCUUUUUUUUUCUCCCCUCUAAUUUAGUCGGGUAAGUUCGCUUUUCUUGGCUGGGUUAGUCGAGGUUGAAGGGGGAAGAGGGAGUUAGCCUUUCGACUUGUGCAGAAUCUGAGAGUGAUCGACGUUGAAAAGACGUUUGAAUUGUUGUGCAAUAACAGGUCAGUGAUGCCCUUGGAUGCCUUCGGCGGCACGCGCGUUACAAUGAUUUAUCUAUCAAAAUGGGCUCCUGCGCCAGGAGAGUCAAAGUCUCGGUAAAUUAUGAAACAAACUAAGUUGGGACUGUACUAUGCGACAAUGCAGUACCACGAACCAGGAAUUUCUAGUAGUCAUGCGUACCCAUCGUGUGGCGGCUUUGUCCCUGCUCUUUGUGCACACCGCCCGUCGCUCCUACCGAUUGAGUGGUUUGGUGAAAAUGCAGGGGAGGCUUGGGGGUGGAGUUAGGUGGUUACCUAAAAUUUACUCUGCCUGAUUUACUUGCCAGGUUUCUCAGGAAUAAACACAGAGACCCACUCAGCCCUAUUCCUACAGAAAUUUUUUUCUUUGGGGGAGAAGGUGGUUGCGAUCGCAUUAAACCAAGGA
rnacentral:rRNA from 1 species